GCACUGCUGAUGAGACCCAACAAGGUCGAAAGAGCUGUCCAGUGC
rfam:Echinostoma caproni strain Egypt genome assembly, scaffold: ECPE_scaffold0008577